rnacentral:rRNA from 1 species
GAUGAACGCUGGCGGCGUGCCUAAUACAUGCAAGUCGAGCGAACAGACGAGGAGCUUGCUCCUCUGACGUUAGCGGCGGACGGGUGAGUAACAUGUGGAUAACCUACCUAUAAGACUGGGAUAACUUCGGGAAACCGGAGCUAAUACCGGAUAAUAUAUUGAACCGCAUGGUUCAAUAGUGAAAGACGGUUUUGCUGUCACUUAUAGAUGGAUCCGCGCCGCAUUAGCUAGUUGGUAAGGUAACGGCUUACCAAGGCAACGAUGCGUAGCCGACCUGAGAGGGGGAUCGGCAACACUGGACCUGAGACACGGUCCAGACCCCUACGGGAGGAAGCAGUAGGGAAUCUUCCGCAAGGGGCGAAAGCCGGACGGAGAAACGCGGCGGGAGUGAUGAAGGUCUUCGGAUCGUAAAACUCUGUUAUUAGGGAAGAACAAAUGUGUAAGUAACUAUGCACGUCUGGACGGUACCUAAUCAGAAAGCCACGGCUAACUACGU